CCAUGGAACAUUCAACGCUGUCGGUGAGUUUGGGAUUUAAAAAAACCACUGACCGUUGACUGUACCUUGG
ensembl:miRNA microRNA 181a-2